GUAAAUACCAAGAAGUAUGAUUGCUGGAUCUGCUGGAUCAUAUGGGUGAAGGUGAUCCAGAUCCCUCUGGCUUAAGAGCAUUUAGGGUACAAUUUCAAUGUAUUUGGGAGCUCUGAUGAACCUUCAGACUGUGAAAAUAUUCAUGAAAACCUUACUACGAGACCCUGCAUCAUGAGAGGGAGUCCAGUGGUGGUUAAGA